rnacentral:lncRNA from 1 species
UAUACCAACAAAGAGAGAAAAAAAGAGUGAGGCAUCACAUACAUGGUAUAAGAAAAUAGUCUGUGAGAAAAAUAGAGAGUGAGCUAUAUUAUAGUUAGGUGGAAUAUCAAAAGAGGGUUAUUUCUUUUGAGUGUUGUAGUGGUCUUUGGAGUAUUUUACUCGAACCUACAAAUUGUAAAAUUCUUUGCUAUAAUGAUAUUAGUUGCUCCUCUCGGGACCGUGUUUUUCCCUUAUUCAAAAGGAGUUUCCACGUAAAAAUCUUGGUGUCGUUGUCACUGUUUUAUUCUUGUUAAUUACCAUAUCUCGGUGAUACGUUAUUAUUCCAUUUUUAUUACCGUGAAUAUUAUUUCUGUGAGAGUUUAUUCCCAACAAAAAAAAGGCAAAUCAGGCAACGACCAAUACCAGACACAACGAAUGUAAUCGACACCGCGUAAAUUCCGAAGGGAGUAUAUUUAAUAGAGGGGAUUGAGGGUUUGCCAUCAGAUAGCAUUCAAUGAGGGAAUAUUCUCUAACAUUAAAUAAGCGACCAUUGCAGAGGUUAUUUGCAUUCAUGGCCCGCCGUUACAUAUUCAUCGAUGACUCUUUUAUUAUCAUUCAAGAGGAGUUUGAUCUUAGGAUUUUGUUUCCCUUGGAAGAGCUAUAAAUAGGAGGCUCAAUAGACAUUGUAAGACAUGAAAUUCUUGGCAAACAUAUGUCUAUUUUACUUUUGCUCUCAAUUAAAUAACUUUACUGGCUCUUUAUCAUUGCUUUUACUUUUGUUCUCGGAGGCAUUGCUCUCGGAACUAGGCUUGUCAAUCUUAUUUAAUUUCAAUUGCUAAAUCUCACUUCUAAUCUUAUUUCUUUAUUAUUUUUGGAUCAAAUAAGUUCGUUUGUCUAUAAACCACGUUACAAAUUUAAUUAUAUCAUUUUACGGGUAAACAUAUAGAGGUGAAAAAUGGGUGAUGUAUCUUUUAUAGUCUUGUUUAAAAGGAAUUGGAAUAGAAGCUAGUAAUGCAGUUGCUAUACGUCUUCCCCAAAACGAAAUGGGAUUAGCAAGAGAAUUCUUGAUUAUUCUUGUUUACCGCUAAGUCUAAUCAACAAUUUCUCAUCAAUCUAGGCAUGUCAAGUUUAUAGCACCUGAUUAGGACUGAGGAGUUAUUGCAGAAAAGGAAUAUCCGCCAUGAGUAUUAAAAGUCUUCAAGAGAGAAAACAAGGUACCCAUCUGUUUCAAUUUAUA